rnacentral:rRNA from 1 species
CCUUCGGGUGGCUGCAGUGAGGAAUAUUGGUCAAUGGGCGUAAGCCUGAACCAGCCAAGUCGCGUGAGGGAUGAAGGUUCUAUGGAUCGUAAACCUCUUUUAUAAGGGAAUAAAGUGUGGGACGUGUCCUAUUUUGUAUGUACCUUAUGAAUAAGGAUCGGCUAACUCCGUGCCAGCAGCCGCGGUCAUACGGAGGAUACGAGCGUUAUCCGGAUUUAUUGGGUUUAAAGGGUGCGUAGGCGGCCUUUUAAGUCAGCGGUGAAAGUCUGUGGCUCAACCAUAGAAUUGCCGUUGAAACUGGGGGGCUGUAGUAUGUUUGAGGCAGGCGGAAUGCGUGGUGUAGCGGUGAAAUGCUUAGAUAUCACGCAGAACCCCGAUUGCGAAGGCAGCCUGCCAAGCCAUGACUGACGCUGAUGCACGAAAGCGUGGGGAUCAAACAGGAUUAGAUACCCGGGUAGUC